GACGAACGCUGGCGGCGUGCUUAACACAUGCAAGUCGAACGGAAAGGCCCUGCUUGCAGGGUACUCGAGUGUCGAACGGGUGAGUAACACGUGGGUGAUCUGCCCUGCACUUCGGGAUAAGCCUGGCAAACUGGGUCUAAUACCGGAUAGGAGCCAUUUUUAGUGUGAUGGUUGGAAAGUUUUUUUGGUGUAGGAUGAGCUCGCGGCCUAUCAGCUUGUUGGUGGGGUAAUGGCCUACCAAGGCGGCGACGGGUAGCCGGCCUGAGAGGGUGGACGGCCACAUUGGGACUGGGAUACGGCCCAGACUCCUACGGGAGGCAGCAGGGGGGAAUAUUGCAAAAAGGGGGGGAGCCUGAUGCAGCGACGCCGGGUGGGGGAAGACGGCCUUCGGGUUGGAAACUCCUUUCGCUAGGGACGAAGCUUUUUGUGACGGUACCUAGAUAAGAAGCACCGGCUAACUACGUG
rnacentral:rRNA from 1 species